CCCGUCAUUCUCUCGUCUCCUCCCAGUCCCGCCUGAGUCGCCCACGUUUCUCCUCCUCUGGCACAAAAAAGGAAAAAAUAAAUCCCCCCUUCUCCUCUCCAUCCGAUCCCCUGCUGCCCUGCACCUCCGCAUCUCCUCCACCGCGCUGAUGCCGCCCACCUCUCCCCCAAACAGACAGCGUUGUCUUCUCCCCGCAAACGAUGCCGGCGCCCUCCACCGCGGACGACGACGACGCGCUCCACCGCGGUCCGCUGUCGUCGCCCUCCCCCGCGGCUGCCGCUGCCCUCGCCCUCGCACUCCACCACGGACGCCGCCGUCCGUCGCAGCGGCCGCCAUCCUGCCUACCGGGCUUGUGGAACACUAGAUGCGUGGCAUCACUGACCAGACGAACCGGAGUUGCGGAGCACCAGAUGUGAGCGGGCACGGCUUCACCGGCGACGGCGUCACGAUGCAGUCAAGCUUUCUCCUCUCUCCUCGCCCCGAUUGUCAGCAUGGGCACCAAACAACAGAGUUGCAACCUGCAGUUCCCGCCCUGCUCCUAGCGACCCGCCUCCCCGUGUUUAUCCGAAUCACAAAUAAGGUAGAUCCUCUCAUCACCGUCUUCGUUGAUUCGUAGACACAUCAGUUGUCAGCCAAUCCAUGUGAACUGAGCCUUGGCUAAUAUUCCACAUGCUACACACAUUCCGAUUUGAAGCCCAAACAUGAAGAAGAUUAAUUUUAACUGUGCUGUAUGAUGUAUGCCGGACAAUUUAGCAAAAUUACUUUAUUUUUUUCUCAUGAAUCGUUAGUUUGCCACAAAUCCACAAUAUAUGCAAGGCUAUUUUCUAGAAUUUGUUUGAUCUUUUUCCCCCUUAAAAUUUGUAGUUUGGCAUAAAUCCAUAUAUUGCAUGAUAUCGAGACUGUGAUUGUAAGAGAUGCAAAGCUAUUUAGGUGGUGCUAUGCCACCAUCUAUGUUGCCUUUAUUUUACGCUGAGGUUAUAUUAUGAUUUUGUUUCCUGUUCAUGUAGUUCAAUUCAGAGUUUUAUUUCCCCCUUGCAUAAUGAAGGCAUUUCUUUACUGCUCUCAAGAACGUCCAUAUAAAAUGUAAUUUGUAUGCAUUUUUGUUUCAAAAUGUUAAAAGGUUUCAAUAAUGGUUUCUCGGUAACAGUCUUUAUGCACUAAUGACUUUUUUGUAAAUAAGAGUGGAAUUAACCAUGAACUUCAGUCUUCUAAAUGGAGGGUUGAGUAGUUAGUUUUUUGUGUUUCUUUUCCUCUUUGAAAAUUAGGUAGGAGUAUUUAAUCAUUUACCUGGAAUAGAUGGCGGUUUGAGUAUUUAGCUUUUGGUUGUUUUUAGUUUCCAACUUAUCCUCUUUUAUCUUUACAAAUAGGCAGUUUUUUCUGUCUUGGUGCCACCUUCUCUGGGCAUACUGCAAUGUAAAAUCUACUGAUACUUAUUUUCCAGAUGGUGCUUCGAUUCUGAUUAGCAAAUAAGGUGUUUCAUGAGUAUGUGUGCGAUGAUAAAAAUUGUCAUGUCCUUUAAUUUGGUCGGUGUCAACUAUUUCUAUUGUAUUGCUAUAACAGUUGCCUGCUUUUUUUGUUGGGGACAAGCAUGCUGACGUGAGGGCAUAACCGCUGCCGAUGCGAAGCGGAAGCGAGGAUUGUUCCUUUAAUUUCUGGUUGUUUUAUACUCACUAUGUAAUGUUUGUUUUUUCUGCUAUUUUAUGUAUAAUCUAGAGAUCAUGUAUGCCUCUUUGAUGGAUUUAAGUUAAGUCACCUGCUGGAGCAGCUUGAGGCCAGGUUUGGGUCUUAGCAUAAGCUUACCUGACAGUUUCCCCUAUUGAAAAUGCCUACAAUUUACAGUUAUUGUUUUCUUGUUCAAGUUCCUUACUACACUUCUGUUUCCCUUCAGGCUGAUGAUACAGAAAACGAAGCAAACAAAUUUCAUCGAAUCAAGCACUAUCUUCAUGCCAAGUUAUGAGAGCAGUAAAGAAAUGCCAUUGAGAUGGGUCUGAUUUCAGAGCACACAAGUCAUCCCAUGCAUUGUCUUUCAGGGGCUAACAAUUUGGUACCAAUUGAAAUUAUUCUGAAGUUUGCAAACAAGAUUAAGGCGAAUGAGAGUUUUUCUGCAUACAUAGUACUUCCUGUGUUGCCCGAGGAUAAGCCAACUGGUGCUCCUACACAAAGAAUUCUUUACUCGCAGGUUCGAUUGAGCAUCUCUGUUUGUGCCUAAUUUUUCCCGAUAGAGCACACCCAAUUUUUCACUUAUAUUGUAGAACAAAACAACACAAAUGAUCGAGACAAUAUAUAGGGCCUUGUUAGGUCUUUAUGAUAUAUAUGAGCCUUGUGAUUAUUUGAACUUUAUUUGUCUUGGCAAUACUGAUGUUGAUGACAGCCCUAGCACAGCCUUAGGUGCAAAUCUUGAUAUACAUGUAUUAUUGGAUCGAAGGGCAUCUCCAAAUAAAUGCUCAGUGUACAAAUAGAAAGCAAACUAAUAUGGUUGUGUACAUGUGUUCCAUACCCGAGACCACUACUUGUGAUAUUGCUGCAACAACUGUCAUUUUGUGUACCAAAA